rnacentral:misc_RNA from 1 species
CAUUCCUUCGCGACAACGCGGACCGCGCGGUAACCCGCGACGGGCGCGACUGUCGUUCUUUCCGAGGCACAAGGCAACCCGACGGGGCGACUGGGGGAGAACCCCCACCGCCCGCACAGCUUUCCGCAUCCGAAACCACUAGCGAUGGACACAUGCGCCGACGCAGCCAGGUCGUGGCGUGCGGGGAACACAUGCAUCGCUACGAGGUCGGCCCCGUGCCGUGGGAGGCAAAGGGCAAAGGGACAAAGGCAUCAAUUCCGAUUUCCACCGCAGUGGGUAAGCAGCACAGGAACCUACCGCGACCUCGAAAAAGAUUUCGGGCCUUGGUAACUGAAGGGAUCGCGGGAAGACAGUUCGGUGCCUGUGGCGGCCUGGAGCCUGCCUUCCCAAACGAUCGUAACACCACUCACGCGC